GAACAUAAGCGUUCAGUUGUGUCGACGCCAAGUCGAAGCACUGGUUCAACAUUGACGCCAGACACGUUGUCCUGUCCAGCACACCCAAUGCUGCCCAACCGGUUUAUCACAAGAUACGACGUGAACACCACAAUGAAGCCCCGACGUCCUUUGAACUUUCAAGAAAUGGUUGGGUUUGGUCAAGGGACUGGUAUUGGAUCUGAUAUAUUAUCAUUGUUGUCACACCUUUUCGCUAAAUAUGAGGUCUUGAAAAUGCUUGGUAUUGCUCCUUGUGAGGUGUUACCCAAUGUUAAUGACGCCUGUCUGUAUAAGUGGUACAUACUUGACACCUAUGGCGAAGGAUGAGCCAGUUAUUUUCGAGUUUGUACUUUGGGUGCAUCUCGUUCCUCGGGUUGCAUUGCGCCCGCGACCACAUAGGAGUUCCUGGUCUUGUCUCUUCGCCCCCAACCCCGAUAAACUCUAUGUACCGUGAACGAAUGCUCAUCAGGUCGACAGUUAUUUGACGACGUAAAUCCAUCCAUAUUAACUGGCGCUGCGGCUGCGCUCAAUAGACUCCGUUGGGGAGUCUGAGCCUGAUAGGGUGUACCAGUCCAGCCGGUUAUGUACGGUUGGUAUGCUCUAUGAUAUGGAUCUCCAUCCACCUGUCAGCUAGGGGCAGACCCCAGUGUCUCAACCCUGGGUCUCAGAGGCGGUAACUUCUAGUCAGGCAGCGCGCUAUGUCUGGUUAGGCGACAUGGGUUACCAGGGCAUCCACAGCCAAAAUGGUUUGCACAUGGAGGUCAUCGCGACCGACUUGUGAGGGGGAAGAAGUGAUGUCCAUGGCGGUUUCAAAUUGAUCUGACGACCCCCGCGUCUUCUGGACAGGGAGGGGUUCAUGUGGCCAAAUCCUGUCAGCUAAAUCCUAUCGUUAGCAUCGUUCGCGGUUCAUGGAAACCAAGGGCAUCGAACCCUUUUUUGUCUUGGUUUAAUUUCUCUGAGGAUUUCAAUGAUGAUAUAUAUAUUUAGAUCCACAGGUAUAGUCGGUACAUGUGGCGACUCGCCACAUGAACAUUUUAAAAGUUUUUUUCGAGCAUUGUUAAAAGUUAUGCGAAUAAAUUUCUUCUUUGGACGUGUUUUUUUUUACCAGAAUGACAAUCAAAAAGUUUGUCACUGGAGAAUUUCCCCAUCCCCACCCCAGCCCUAGAAUAAUAUACAGACUAAAUAGUAUCUUUGGACUGUACUGGUAAUAUAGGUCAGUCACGAAAAAUAAAAUAUAUAUUGGACUGUACUGGUAAUAUAGGUCAGUCACGAAGAAUAGAAUGUAUAUUGGACUGUACUGGUAAUAUAGGUCAGUCACGAAAAAUGAAAUAUAUAUUGGACUGUACUGGUAAUAUAGGUCAGUCACAAAAAUAUCUGAAAGUCUGUGCCCCAUUGUUGACGAAUAUAAUAUCGUGAGGACUUUAUCAAUAGUCACGGUCCCUGGCCCCUCCCACAUAAAAAUCAUUAGCAAGGUCACUGCAGGCAAUAGCUUCAGCAUUGUUAUUGUAUAGACAUGUCUUAAACAUUAUAAACGGCCCUAUUUAUGGGGUCACAUUGGGUUCUUGCUGGGGUAAUGAUGUCCAUGUCCGAUUCUGCGUUUUGUGGACUUGUAUAUCAGUCCAGCAGUGACAUUGCGUUUUGUGGACAUGUAAGUCUGUCCCGCAGUACCAAGUUUCACCCCAGCAAUUACCAAUAAGACCUGCACGUGACCUUAAAGUAAGUGUUGUCGAGACAAAACGCGAUGUAUGCAUUGGAAGAAGGAAAUCUGCGAAGAGUAGCUGGAACUGUCUGUCCAGCUCUCGUUUAUGAAACAAUGGGCGAUUUGAAAGACGUCUCCUGAACAGAUCGCCCAUUGUUCACUGAAGCAGCAUUCGAAUUGUCUCCAAUUUUUUCAGGUGGAUUGCUUCAUCUCGUGUGGUUUCGCUGUCCCGUCCCAAGAAUCGAGCCAACGCGACCGAGGCCACUUCUGAGAGAUAAAUAUUCAGGAUGCCAGAUUUAAGGAACACAAUUGAGGCCAGUAGUCAAGAGCCAUGAUCAGGGAACAGCAGUUCCCAACGGAAUUAACCCUUUUCUUGUUGUAAUUCAUGCUGUUGGCUCAGAAUGGGUUGACACUCACCUGUUUUCGACCCUGAAAAUUAAACAUCGAACAUUGUUACUCUUUGUUAAAAGUAAACCUUGCAAAAUAUGUGCUUAUUUCCUGAAAUCAAUAGCACUUCAUGUAUGUACUCGCUGAUCCAGAAUAUUGCUAUUUCUUGUUCCGUUUUCAAUGUGGCAAUCCAUUUACCGUAUCCGAGCUAUUUCACAGCACAAGAAGUGCAACAUUACAACAAUGGAGCUAUUUCUUGAUCACAGCAAAAAUGUGUUUCUACAUUGUUUUACUCAAAUGAUGCAUGGAUGAGCCUUAUUGACAUAUUUGUUUUCAAGAGGAAUUGGUUGUAGGUUUUCUUUCUUUUUUCUUAAGGCAGGCCUAAUUUAACAGAAGGCCUAUAUUUUAGGUAGGAUAUUAUUUAUACUACAGGCCCAUAUCAGUUUUGAGAUCAAUUUCCUCUUGAAGACAAUAAACGUCAAUCGAGUCUCUGCACCAUUUUGAUUGGGCGGUUUUGGGCUAAAAUACAGUACAAGAGAAUGCUCCAUUGGUGUUAACAGAAUAUGUCAUUGUUUUGGUCAGCAAUCAGUUCUUGCCACCUUGUAAAGAGACGCAAAUUAUUCCAGGACAUUCAAACUUGUGUUGUAUCCUAUCCUUACGAUGUAUGGUUAUCCCUACAGAUGUGCUAAAAGCCCUGUCUCUUUAGUAUUGGAUGAGGCAUCCUGCAGACAGUCCGCUGUACGCUCUUGAGAGAGACACUGGCACCCCAUCUCUGCCCAGAGUAACCCGUGCUUAGAGUAACUGGUAAACCGCUAUCGUCUCUGGAAGACAAAGCAUUUGCUGGUGUUUAUUCAUAUCAUCUCCUCAAACACUACUCCAGUACUUCUUGGGUGGUACCUGAUACGAGACAACUAACUGAGCUAUAACUAACCUGAAGUGCUAUUUGAUAAGGGCACAUGAGCUGUGUCCCUUUAGUUCGAAGGAUGUGACACCUCACAGUGUCCAAUGCGGCUCCUUGAGAGAAAAAUACACUAAUACAUUCACAGGACUUUCAAACUGCUGGGAGCGUCCCUACAGACUGUUCAACAGAAUGAUCAAAAGUUUUAUCAUAUUUUAUCUUCUGAAUUCGUAAAUUUAAGCAAGAAAAUGACAAUGACCCAUUUUGUGUUUUAAUGCUGCAAUAGUUUAAUAUCGUGAAGAAAAAGAAUGAUUACAAUUUAUUAGAAUUACAAUUACCAAUUAGUUUAUUAACACCUUAUAAGCAAACUUACAUCGGUGAGGAGAGCAGAAUAAAGUGAGUGCGGAAAGCUAUCGAAGCUAUUGAUAAGAGGAGGAGAAAAACCAAAGGGGAUCUGUCUAUAGGAAUGUACCCCUUCUGUCAGCGUGUGAGGAGACG